GGCCAGACUCCUACGGGAGGCAGCAGUGGGGAAUAUUGCACAAUGGGGGAAACCCUGAUGCAGCGACGCCGCGUGAGGGAAGAAGGUUUUCGGAUUGUAAACCUCUGUCUUUGGUGACGAAAGAUGACGGUAGCCAAAGAGGAAGCUACGGCUAACUACGUGCCAGCAGCCGCGGUAAUACGUAGGUGGCAAGCGUUGUCCGGAAUUACUGGGUGUAAAGGGAGCGUAGACGGCAGGGCAAGCCAGAAGUGAAAACGCAGAGCUUAACUUUGCGACUGCUUUUGGAACUGCCCAGCUAGAGUACAGGAGAGGUAAGUGGAAUUCCUAGUGUAGCGGUGAAAUGCGUAGAUAUUAGGAGGAACACCAGUGGCGAAGGCGGCUUACUGGACUGAGACUGACGUUGAGGCUCGAAAGCGUGGGGAGCAAACAGGAUUAGAUACCCCAGUA
rnacentral:rRNA from 1 species